AAUAGAUACCCAGGUAGUCCACGCCGUAAACGAUGAGUGCUAAGUGUUAGGGGGUUUCCGCCCCUUAGUGCUGCAGCUAACGCAUUAAGCACUCCGCCUGGGGAGUACGGUCGCAAGACUGAAACUCAAAGGAAUUGACGGGGGCCCGCACAAGCGGUGGAGCAUGUGGUUUAAUUCGAAGCAACGCGAAGAACCUUACCAGGUCUUGACAUCCCGCUGACCGCUAUGGAGACAUAGCCUUCCCUUCGGGGACAGCGGUGACAGGUGGUGCAUGGUUGUCGUCAGCUCGUGUCGUGAGAUGUUGGGUUAAGUCCCGCAACGAGCGCAACCCUUGAGAUUAGUUGCCAUCAUUCAGUUGGGCACUCUAAUCUGACUGCCGGUGAUAAACCGGAGGAAGGUGGGGAUGACGUCAAAUCAUCAUGCCCCUUAUGACCUGAGCUACACACGUGCUACAAUGGACGGUACAAACGGUUGCCAACCCGCGAGGGGGAGCCAAUCCGAUAAAACCGUUCUCAGUUCGGAUUGUAGG
rnacentral:rRNA from 1 species